rnacentral:rRNA from 1 species
UACGUAGGGUGCAAGCGUUGUCCGGAAUUAUUGGGCGUAAAGAGCUCGUAGGCGGUUUGUCGCGUCUGCUGUGAAAACGCGAGGCUCAACCUCGCGCCUGCAGUGGGUACGGGCAAACUAGAGUGUGGUAGGGGAGACUGGAAUUCCUGGUGUAGCGGUGGAAUGCGCAGAUAUCAGGAGGAACACCGAUGGCGAAGGCAGGUCUCUGGGCCACUACUGACGCUGAGGAGCGAAAGC